CAAAGCUUGUCACUCAUUAAUUAAUAAAAAUAAUUAAUAAUAUCAAAACAAUGAUAGUAAAAUACUCUGAAGUCCGGAUAUUGAACCCAGGUUUAAUAUUGUAAUAGAACACUUGAAAAUAAAUCUUCAAAAGCAGACCCACUGAAUGAUAUCCUGGAGCUUUUGGUCCCAUUGUACUGCGAAGACAAUGAACUUCUACAAAGACAUUUUGAGACGGAUUACAUCCGGCGAAUCAUCAACUUCACCUUCAAUUUCAAUUUCAUUACCAUCUUCAUCUACAUUUCCAGCGAUGAGUUACAUUAUCGGACAAUACUUGAGUUAUUAACACCGAACGAUGUGAAAGAAAACACUCAUACCGUCUUAGAAGUACACCGGUUAACAUUUCACACCGUCGAUUCACACUGAGCAGACCGUGGAAAGUCUU